AUGAACGCUAGCGGCAGGCUUAACACAUGCAAGUCGAGGGGCAGCAUAAUGGAUAGCAAUAUCUAUGGUGGCGACCGGCGCACGGGUGCGUAACGCGUAUGCAACCUACCUUUAACAGGGGGAUAACACUGAGAAAUUGGUACUAAUACCCCAUAAUAUCAUAGAAGGCAUCUUUUAUGGUUGAAAAUUCCGAUGGUUAGAGAUGGGCAUGCGUUGUAUUAGCUAGUUGGUGGGGUAACGGCUCACCAAGGCGACGAUACAUAGGGGGACUGAGAGGUUAACCCCCCACACUGGUACUGAGACACGGACCAGACUCCUACGGGAGGCAGCAGUGAGGAAUAUUGGUCAAUGGACGCAAGUCUGAACCAGCCAUGCCGCGUGCAGGAUGACGGCUCUAUGAGUUGUAAACUGCUUUUGUACGAGGGUAAACGCAGAUACGUGUAUCUGUCUGAAAGUAUCGUACGAAUAAGGAUCGGCUAACUCCGUGCCAGCAGCCGCGGUAAUACGGAGGAUUCAAGCGUUAUCCGGAUUUAUUGGGUUUAAAGGGUGCGUAGGCGGUUUGAUAAGUUAGAGGUGAAAUUUCGGGGCUCAACCCUGAACGUGCCUCUAAUACUGUUGAGCUAGAGAGUAGUUGCGGUAGGCGGAAUGUAUGGUGUAGCGGUGAAAUGCUUAGAGAUCAUACAGAACACCGAUUGCGAAGGCAGCUUACCAAACUAUAUCUGACGUUGAGGCACGAAAGCGUGGGGAGCAAACAGGAUUAGAUACCCUGGUAGUCCACGCAGUAAACGAUGAUAACUCGUUGUCGGCGAUACACAGUCGGGGACUAAGCGAAAGCGAUAAGUUAUCCACCUGGGGAGUACGUUCGCAAGAAUGAAACUCAAAGGAAUUGACGGGGGCCCGCACAAGCGGAGGAACAUGUGGUUUAAUUCGAUGAUACGCGAGGAACCUUACCCGGGCUUGAACUGCAGUGGAAUUAUCCGGAAACGGAUAAGCGAGCAAUCGCCGCUGUGGAGGUGCUGCAUGGUUGUCGUCAGCUCGUGCCGUGAGGUGUCGGGUUAAGUCCCAUAACGAGCGCAACCCCUACCGUUAGUUGCCAUCAGGUCAAGCUGGGCACUCUGGCGGGACUGCCGGUGUAAGCCGAGAGGAAGGUGGGGAUGACGUCAAAUCAGCACGGCCCUUACGUCCGGGGCUACACACGUGUUACAAUGGUAGGUACAGAGGGUAGCUACCCAGCGAUGGGAUGCGAAUCUCGAAAGCCUAUCUCAGUUCGGAUUGGAGGCUGAAACCCGCCUCCAUGAAGUUGGAUUCGCUAGUAAUCGCGCAUCAGCCAUGGCGCGGUGAAUACGUUCCCGGGCCUUGUACACACCGCCCGUCACACCAUGGGAGCCGGGGGUGCCUGAAGUUCGUGACCGCAAGGAGCGACCUAGGGCAAAACUGGUGACUGGGGCU
rnacentral:rRNA from 1 species